rnacentral:rRNA from 1 species
GACAGAGGUGCCGAGCGUUAGGCGGAAUCACUGGGCUUAAAGCGUGUGUAGGCGGGUCCGUAAGUACCUUGUGAAAUCCCACGGCUCAACCGUGGAACUGCUUGGUAUACUGCGGGUCUUGAGCCACUUAGGGGCAAGCGGAACAAACGGUGGAGCGGUGAAAUGCGUAGAUAUCGUUUGGAACGCCAAUGGUGAAAACAGCUCGCUGGGGCUGCGCUGACGCUGAGACACGAAAGCCAGGGGAGCGAACGGG